rnacentral:rRNA from 1 species
AUUGAACGCUGGCGGCAGGCCUAACACAUGCAAGUCGAGCGGAUGAAGGGAGCUUGCUCCUGGAUUCAGCGGCGGACGGGUGAGUAAUGCCUAGGAAUCUGCCUGGUAGUGGGGGAUAACGUCCGGAAACGGGCGCUAAUACCGCAUACGUCCUGAGGGAGAAAGUGGGGGAUCUUCGGACCUCACGCUAUCAGAUGAGCCUAGGUCGGAUUAGCUAGUUGGUGGGGUAAAGGCCUACCAAGGCGACGAUCCGUAACUGGUCUGAGAGGAUGAUCAGUCACACUGGAACUAGGACACGGUCCAGACUCCUACGGGAGGCAGCAGUGGGGAAUAUUGGACAAUGGGCGAAAGCCUGAUCCAGCCAUGCCGCGUGUGUGAAGAAGGUCUUCGGAUUGUAAAGCACUUUAAGUUGGGAGGAAGGGCAGUAAGUUAAUACCUUGCUGUUUUGACGUUACCAACAGAAUAAGCACCGGCUAACUUCGU